rnacentral:lncRNA from 1 species
CUGAUAUAUAGUGAUUCAUUAGUGAACAAAGCCAAGCCAUGUCGACCGCCUAUCUCACGGAAGCUUACAUGAUUAGGAAGCUCCACAACGAAAAGAUGAACAAAAUCAAUCGUGGUUCAAAAAAGCUGAAAUCAUCGUCUGGUCGAGAAAAAGCGGAAAGCUACUGUGAAAGCUGCAGGAGUAGUGCUGCUUCUGCUUCUGGUGGCGGCUGUUUCUCGUUGUUCAUGUUCAAGAAAAUUCAUCCAAACACUGCGUCGUCUUCCGAUUCUUGAAAACCGGUUGGAGUCUUUGAUUAUUUUGUAACGAUUUUGAAUCUCUGCUAAUAAUUUGUUAGAGAUUAAUUAUGUUUGUUCUUUUGAUUUUCUUAAUAGAUUUGUACUAUAAGGUAUACGUAUACCCUCAAUGUAAACGGCGUAAACUUCCAUAGUCUCGUUUGGGAAUAUUGAUAAGUUUGAUUAAAUCGGAUAGGAUUGAUUAUAUUGUCCGUGAUCGCUAAUGUAAUUAACGUGAUAAUUAUAUCCUAUGUUUGUGAUUUGUUGUUACAAUUUUUGUAUUGGGUGGAUUUUGUAAUUGUAAG